rnacentral:rRNA from 2 species
GUCGAACGAACUCUGGUAUUGAUUGGUGCUUGCAUCAUGAUUUACAUUUGAGUGAGUGGCGAACUGGUGAGUAACACGUGGGAAACCUGCCCAGAAGCGGGGGAUAACACCUGGAAACAGAUGCUAAUACCGCAUAACAACUUGGACCGCAUGGUCCGAGCUUGAAAGAUGGCUUCGGCUAUCACUUUUGGAUGGUCCCGCGGCGUAUUAGCUAGAUGGUGGGGUAACGGCUCACCAUGGCAAUGAUACGUAGCCGACCUGAGAGGGUAAUCGGCCACAUUGGGACUGAGACACGGCCCAAACUCCUACGGGAGGCAGCAGUAGGGAAUCUUCCACAAUGGACGAAAGUCUGAUGGAGCAACGCCGCGUGAGUGAAGAAGGGUUUCGGCUCGUAAAACUCUGUUGUUAAAGAAGAACAUAUCUGAGAGUAACUGUUCAGGUAUUGACGGUAUUUAACCAGAAAGCCACGGCUAACUACGUGCCAGCAGCCGCGGUAAUACGUAGGUGGCAAGCGUUGUCCGGAUUUAUUGGGCGUAAAGCGAGCGCAGGCGGUUUUUUAAGUCUGAUGUGAAAGCCUUCGGCUCAACCGAAGAAGUGCAUCGGAAACUGGGAAACUUGAGUGCAGAAGAGGACAGUGGAACUCCAUGUGUAGCGGUGAAAUGCGUAGAUAUAUGGAAGAACACCAGUGGCGAAGGCGGCUGUCUGGUCUGUAACUGACGCUGAGGCUCGAAAGUAUGGGUAGCAAACAGGAUUAGAUACCCUGGUAGUCCAUACCGUAAACGAUGAAUGCUAAGUGUUGGAGGGUUUCCGCCCUUCAGUGCUGCAGCUAACGCAUUAAGCAUUCCGCCUGGGGAGUACGGCCGCAAGGCUGAAACUCAAAGGAAUUGACGGGGGCCCGCACAAGCGGUGGAGCAUGUGGUUUAAUUCGAAGCUACGCGAAGAACCUUACCAGGUCUUGACAUACUAUGCAAAUCUAAGAGAUUAGACGUUCCCUUCGGGGACAUGGAUACAGGUGGUGCAUGGUUGUCGUCAGCUCGUGUCGUGAGAUGUUGGGUUAAGUCCCGCAACGAGCGCAACCCUUAUUAUCAGUUGCCAGCAUUAAGUUGGGCACUCUGGUGAGACUGCCGGUGACAAACCGGAGGAAGGUGGGGAUGACGUCAAAUCAUCAUGCCCCUUAUGACCUGGGCUACACACGUGCUACAAUGGAUGGUACAACGAGUUGCGAACUCGCGAGAGUAAGCUAAUCUCUUAAAGCCAUUCUCAGUUCGGAUUGUAGGCUGCAACUCGCCUACAUGAAGUCGGAAUCGCUAGUAAUCGCGGAUCAGCAUGCCGCGGUGAAUACGUUCCCGGGCCUUGUACACACCGCCCGUCACACCAUGAGAGUUUGUAACACCCAAAGUCGGUGGGGUAACCUUUUAGA